AGCGAACGCUGGCGGCAGGCUUAACACAUGCAAGUCGAGCGGGCGUAGCAAUACGUCAGCGGCAGACGGGUGAGUAACGCGUGGGAACGUACCUUUUGGUUCGGAACAACACAGGGAAACUUGUGCUAAUACCGGAUAAGCCCUUACGGGGAAAGAUUUAUCGCCGAAAGAUCGGCCCGCGUCUGAUUAGCUAGUUGGUGAGGUAAUGGCUCACCAAGGCGACGAUCAGUAGCUGGUCUGAGAGGAUGAUCAGCCACAUUGGGACUGAGACACGGCCCAAACUCCUACGGGAGGCAGCAGUGGGGAAUAUUGGACAAUGGGGGCAACCCUGAUCCAGCCAUGCCGCGUGAGUGAUGAAGGCCCUAGGGUUGUAAAGCUCUUUUGUGCGGGAAGAUAAUGACGGUACCCACAGAAGAAGCCCCGGCUAACUCCGUGCCAGCAGCCGCGGUAAGUCUCGCGUGA
rnacentral:rRNA from 1 species